GAUCAUGGCUCAGGAUGAACGCUAGCUACAGGCUUAACACAUGCAAGUCGAGGGGCAGCGGGAAGUCAGCUUGCUGACUUUGCCGGCGACCGGCGCACGGGUGAGUAACACGUAUCCAACCUCCCGCAUACUCGGGAAUAGCCUUUCGAAAGAAAGAUUAAUGCCCGAUGGUUUCAAGGGAUUGCACGGUAUCUUGAAUAAAGAUUCAUCGGUAUGCGAUGGGGAUGCGUUCCA
rnacentral:rRNA from 1 species